ACCGGAUAGGACGAAAGUUAAAGGUGCUUCUGGCACCGCUGAUGGAUGAGCCUGCGGCGCAUUAGCUAGUUGGUAGGGUAAAGGCCUACCAAGGCGACGAUGCGUAGCCGACCUGAGAGGGUGAACGGCCACACUGGGACUGAGACACGGCCCAGACUCCUACGGGAGGCAGCAGUAGGGAAUCUUCGGCAAUGGGCGAAAGCCUGACCGAGCAACGCCGCGUGAAUGAUGAAGGCCUUCGGGUUGUAAAAUUCUGUUAUAAGGGAAGAACGACUUUAGUAGGAAAUGGCUAGAGUGUGACGGUACCUUAUGAGAAAGCCACGGCUAACUACGUGCCAGCAGCCGCGGUAAUACGUAGGUGGCGAGCGUUAUCCGGAAUUAUUGGGCGUAAAGAGCGCGCAGGUGGUUGAUUAAGUCUGAUGUGAAAGCCCACGGCUUAACCGUGGAGGGUCAUUGGAAACUGGUCGACUUGAGUGCAGAAGAGGGAAGUGGAAUUCCAUGUGUAGCGGUGAAAUGCGUAGAGAUAUGGAGGAACACCAGUGGCGAAGGCGGCUUCCUGGUCUGUAACUGACACUGAGGCGCGAAAGCGUGGGGAGCAAACAGGAUUAGAUACCCUGGUAGUCCACGCCGUAAACGAUGAGUGCUAAGUGUUGGGGGUCG
rnacentral:rRNA from 1 species